AUGCUCCUCUUUGGGCCGAUUUGGGGCCAUUUUAUGUCGCUGCGGCGCUGCCUCAAUGGAGAGUGGGGAGGGGGGGAGAAAAAAAAACAACAAAACACAACAAACCCCCCCAGAACCCCGCACCACCACUGCCGUUUUUGGGGAGAAAAACUGAGAAACGGUCACAAACCCCCCCUCCCUCCCCUCAGUGCACAGCACUGCUGUCACCAAAAACCAACUUCUUCCACUGCAAUGCCCGCUGAAGGGCACGGAGCCGUGCACUGCUGUGCAGACUGCUCAUUUUGGGGGCAUUUUCUGCCAUUUUGGGGCACUUUCAGCCACUGUUUUUCAUUUUUAAAUGGGUGGAAAACAAGCAAAACUUGGGCUGAUGGGGACGACCCACCCGGGGUGAAACACCACCAUUCUGACACCACGGCCCCGAAUCUAUCCGGAUCUCCAAUUUGGGUGAAAAACAGCACAAAUACCUAUUUUCUCCCUUUCCUACACGUUUUUUGGGAGGUUUUGCUGCCGGGCUCUCUCUGCCUUUUCGUGUCGGGCGUCCACGCUGCCUCGGUUUUGGGGCAAUUUCCUGCGGUUUUGGUGCUCUCACUGAUCUGUGCGAAGAUCCCUUGCUGCCAACACCCAGCGCCCCUUUUUUUUUUGCCUUUUUUCCCUCAAAAUCCGACGGUUCAAGGCUACACCUGCGAGACAGACCCCCUGCGUCAGCCCCCAUUUGGGGUGAAAGCACUCCUUUUUGCUACAUUGUCCACAAUCGGCCCCUUUUCGCAUCCCUCGCGUCGGAACAGGGGGGGGAGUGGGGGUGUUUUUGGGGCAAUUUCGGACAGAAGCGGGGUCCCAGCGCGCCCAGCUCCUCCCGCGCGUCCCAACCUCCAAAAAUGCCGGAAUUCCCCCCAAAACGCGCCACCGCGCCCCUCGUGA
rnacentral:lncRNA from 1 species